rnacentral:rRNA from 1 species
GAAGUUCCCUUCGGGGACAUGGAUACAGGUGGUGCAUGGUUGUCGUCAGCUCGUGUCGUGAGAUGUUGGGUUAAGUCCCGCAACGAGCGCAACCCUUAUUCUUAGUUGCCAGCAUUAAGUUGGGCACUCUAGUGAGACUGCCGGUGACAAACCGGAGGAAGGUGGGGAUGACGUCAAAUCAUCAUGCCCCUUAUGACCUGGGCUACACACGUGCUACAAUGGAUCAUACAAAGAGAAGCGAACUCGCGAGAGCAAGCGAAUCUCAUAAA